UGGGGAAUCUUGGACAAUGGGCGCAAGCCUGAUCCAGCCAUGCCGCGUGAGUGAUGAAGGCCCUAGGGUUGUAAAGCUCUUUCGCCAGGGAAGAUAAUGACGGUACCUGGAUAAGAAGCCCCGGCUAACUCCGUGCCAGCAGCCGCGGUAAUACGGAGGGGGCUAGCGUUGUUCGGAAUUACUGGGCGUAAAGCGCACGUAGGCGGCUAUCCAAGUUGGGGGUGAAAUCCCUGGGCUUAACCCAGGAACUGCCUUCAAAACUGGAUGGCUAGAGUCCGAGAGAGGUGAGUGGAAUUUCCAGUGUAGAGGUGAAAUUCGUAGAUAUUGGAAAGAACACCAGUGGCGAAGGCGGCUCACUGGCUCGGUACUGACGCUGAGGUGCGACAGCGUGGGGAGCAAACA
rnacentral:rRNA from 1 species